rnacentral:ncRNA from 2 species
AUGAACGUAAAGGGAGAGAUUACCGGAACGUACGGUAGCGCCGAAGGAGUAAGCCCGUCGAGCCGGGUGAAUCUCUCAGGCAAAAGGACCUUUACCGGACG